rnacentral:rRNA from 1 species
UACGUAGGGGGCAAGCGUUGUCCGGAUUUAUUGGGCGUAAAGAGCGUGUAGGCGGCCAUACAGGUCAGCUGUGAAAACUCGAGGCUCAACCUCGAGACGUCGGUUGAAACCGUAUGGCUAGAGUCCGGAAGAGGAGAGUGGAAUUCCCGGUGUAGCGGUGAAAUGCGCAGAUAUCGGGAAGAACACCCGUGGCGAAGGCGGCUCUCUGGGACGGUACUGACGCUGAGACACGAAAGCAUGGGGAGCAAACAGG